AUUGAACGCUGGCGGCAUGCUUUACACAUGCAAGUCGAACGGCAGCGCGGGCUUCGGCCUGGCGGCGAGUGGCGAACGGGUGAGUAAUACAUCGGAACGUGCCCAGUAGUGGGGGAUAGCUCGGCGAAAGCCGGAUUAAUACCGCAUACGACCUGAGGGUGAAAGCGGGGGAUCUUCGGACCUCGCGCUAUUGGAGCGGCCGAUGGCAGAUUAGCUAGUUGGUGGGGUAAAGGCCUACCAAGGCGACGAUCUGUAGCUGGUCUGAGAGGACGACCAGCCACACUGGGACUGAGACACGGCCCAGACUCCUACGGGAGGCAGCAGUGGGGAAUUUUGGACAAUGGGCGAAAGCCUGAUCCAGCAAUGCCGCGUGUGUGAUGAAGGCCUUCGGGUUGUAAAGCACUUUUGGCGGGAACGAAAAGGACUGUGCCAAUACCACGGUUCGAUGACGGUACCCGCAGAGUAAGCACCGGUUAACUACGUG
rnacentral:rRNA from 1 species